GUUGGUUCUACCCGAAGGCGUUUUGCUAACCGCAAGGGGGCAGGCGACCACGGUAGGGUCAGCGACUGGGGUGAAGUCGUAACAAGGUAGCCGUAGGUGAACCUGCAGAAGGAUCA
rnacentral:rRNA from 1 species